GGCCUAACACAUGCAAGUCGAACGAACUCUUCGGAGUUAGUGGCGGACGGGUGAGUAACACGUGGGAACGUGCCUUUAGGUUCGGAAUAACUCAGGGAAACUUGUGCUAAUACCGAAUGUGCCCUUCGGGGGAAAGAUUUAUCGCCUUUAGAGCGGCCCGCGUCUGAUUAGCUAGUUGGUGAGGUAAAGGCUCACCAAGGCGACGAUCAGUAGCUGGUCUGAGAGGAUGAUCAGCCACAUUGGGACUGAGACACGGCCCAAACUCCUACGGGAGGCAGCAGUGGGGAAUCUUGCGCAAUGGGCGAAAGCCUGACGCAGCCAUGCCGCGUGAAUGAUGAAGGUCUUAGGAUUGUAAAAUUCUUUCACCGGGGACGAUAAUGACGGUACCCGGAGAAGAAGCCCCGGCUAACUUCGUGCCAGCAGCCGCGGUAAUACGAAGGGGGCUAGCGUUGCUCGGAAUUACUGGGCGUAAAGGGAGCGUAGGCGGACAUUUAAGUCAGGGGUGAAAUCCCGGGGCUCAACCUCGGAAUUGCCUUUGAUACUGGGUGUCUUGAGUAUGAGAGAGGUGUGUGGAACUCCGAGUGUAGAGGUGAAAUUCGUAGAUAUUCGGAAGAACACCAGUGGCGAAGGCGACACACUGGCUCAUUACUGACGCUGAGGCUCGAAAGCGUGGGGAGCAAACAGGAUUAG
rnacentral:rRNA from 1 species